GACGAACGCUGGCGGCGUGCUUAACACAUGCAAGUCGAACGGAAAGGCCCUGCUUUUGUGGGGUGCUCGAGUGGCGAACGGGUGAGUAACACGUGAGUAACCCGCCCUUGACCUUGGGAUAACUUCAGGAAACUGGGGCUAAUACCGGAUAGGAGCUCCUGCUGCAUGGUGGGGGUUGGAAAGUUUCGGCGGUUGGGGAUGGACUCGCGGCUUAUCAGCUUGUUGGUGGGGUAGUGGCUUACCAAGGCUUUGACGGGUAGCCGGCCUGAGAGGGUGACCGGCCACAUUGGGACUGAGAUACGGCCCAGACUCCUACGGGAGGCAGCAGUGGGGAAUAUUGCACAAUGGGCGGAAGCCUGAUGCAGCAACGCCGCGUGCGGGAUGACGGCCUUCGGGUUGUAAACCGCUUUCGCCUGUGACGAAGCGUGAGUGACGGUAAUGGGUAAAGAAGCACCGGCUAACUACGUGCCAGCAGCCGCGGUGAUACGUAGGGUGCGAGCGUUGUCCGGAUUUAUUGGGCGUAAAGGGCUCGUAGGUGGUUGAUCGCGUCGGAAGUGUAAUCUUGGGGCUUAACCCUGAGCGUGCUUUCGAUACGGGUUGACUUGAGGAAGGUAGGGGAGAAUGGAAUUCCUGGUGGAGCGGUGGAAUGCGCAGAUAUCAGGAGGAACACCAGUGGCGAAGGCGGUUCUCUGGGCCUUUCCUGACGCUGAGGAGCGAAAGCGUGGGGAGCGAACAGGCUUAGAUACCCUGGUAGUCCACGCUGUAAACGGUGGGUACUAGGUGUGGGGUCCAUUCCACGGGUUCCGUGCCGUAGCUAACGCUUUAAGUACCCCGCCUGGGGAGUACGGCCGCAAGGCUAAAACUCAAAGGAAUUGACGGGGCCCCGCACAAGCGGCGGAGCAUGCGGAUUAAUUCGAUGCAACGCGUAGAACCUUACCUGGGUUUGACAUGGAUCGGGAGUGCUCAGAGAUGGGUGUGCCUCUUUUGGGGUCGGUUCACAGGUGGUGCAUGGCUGUCGUCAGCUCGUGUCGUGAGAUGUUGGGUUAAGUCCCGCAACGAGCGCAACCCUUGUUCACUGUUGCCAGCACGUUAUGGUGGGGACUCAGUGGAGACCGCCGGGGUCAACUCGGAGGAAGGUGGGGAUGACGUCAAGUCAUCAUGCCCCUUAUGUCCAGGGCUUCACGCAUGCUACAAUGGCUGGUACAGAGAGUGGCGAGCCUGUGAGGGUGAGCGAAUCUCGGAAAGCCGGUCUCAGUUCGGAUUGGGGUUUGCAACUCGACCUCAUGAAGUCGGAGUCGCUAGUAAUCGCAGAUCAGCAACGCUGCGGUGAAUACGUUCCCGGG
rnacentral:rRNA from 1 species